rnacentral:rRNA from 1 species
GACAAACGCUGGCGGCGUGCCUAACACAUGCAAGUCGAGCGUGAAAGGGGCUUCGGCCCUGAGUAAAGCGGCGAACGGGUGAGUAACACGUGGGCAACCUGCCUCAAGGACUGGGACAACCCCGGGAAACCGGGGCUAAUACCGGACGAUGUCGUCUCGCGCAAGCGGGUCGACCAAAAGGUAGCUUCGGCCUCCGCCUUGAGAUGGGCCCGCGUCCUAUCAGCUUGUUGGUGAGGUAACGGCUCACCAAGGCUACGACGGGUAGCUGGGUCUGAGAGGAUGAUCAGCCACACUGGGACUGAGAUACGGCCCAGACUCCUACGGGUGGCUG